GCUUCCUUAGCACAAUGGUAGUGCGUCCGGCUUGUCAGUAACCCUAAUAUCAUGACCAUUAAAGAAUCCCUUACUAACAUCAGAACAGUUAACCGGAAGGUUGCGGGUUCGACCCCCGUGGGUAGCG
rnacentral:tRNA from 1 species